ensembl:lncRNA
CGGCGGCGGCGGCGGCAGCCUCGGCAGGCAUUCCGGCGGCGCGGGCGGCCGCUGUCCUCGCGCGACCCCGACCCGUCCAGAGCGCGCCCCGGGCGACCCUCGAGGAGGAGCGAGGGGAACGAGUGCGGUCCGGGCGCCCGAGCAAGCUCCAAAGCACUGCAUGCUAAUCUCCCGAGGCAGGGCUGCUGGUGUCAAGCUUGUGGGGCCCAGACCACUCCAUCCUGCAAGAAUCGCACUGAGAUGCAGAAGUAGCUCCAGAAUUUAAAUGUACAUAUCACAGUCUACCGUCAAAUGCUGUACCACUUCACAUAUAAUGAUGCUGUCCAGAAAUCCGAACAAGCAGAUCCCAGUCUGAUGCUAACGAUGCUGUGAUGUGGGUUGAAUUCUGGAUCUGAAACCAUCCGUGGGGCUCUUGGACGCACGCGUCUACACGGGGCUUUCCAGGGUGGCGUCUUCGCCGCGCACAGAAAUCCUGUUCCCUGGAGCCCUUUGCCGCGUUCCGCCGGGCCUCCCCCACCCACACUGCGCCCACCCCCGCUAAUGGGCAUGUUUCCGUGAACACUGAAGACGAAAAACAUGCGAUUUUGAAUGUGUCUCUUUCAUGGUCACACAUUUCUUUUCAUUGUGCGCCUUGGCUGAGCCACGCUUCCAAUUCCCAGGGACCCUCCUGGGCUCCGCUUGCAGAGCAUUGUUGCACUUCGACAGCCCCUCCCCCGAGAGCCAGAGGUCGCUGGACCCUGGAUUGUGUAGGGUGUCUCUGAAAGCACUCUCAAUAAAAAGCUCCGGGUCUUUGCCUCUGGUUUCCCUGUGCUGUUGGGGCUCUGAUCUGGCUGAUCCAAGAUUCGUUCCGCGGCCCUGCACACCCGGGUACUUCUUGAGACGCACCGGCUUCCAGAACUUUGCACAACACCGCGACCGCAAGCACUCCGGCUGAGGCCGUUUCCGGUUGCCUUCCUACAGGCCAGUCAUUUCCUGGCCCGGAGGCAUCUCCAUGGGCCCCCACACCACCCUUGUGGGUCUCUCUUCCUCGAGAUUAAGUACAGCCCCCUCGAUGGGGGUGGAAGGCGGGUUCAGGGCAUUCCUGGCUGGCCUCCCUGGGAGCCCCUCCCAGACCCCCACACGCUGGUCCCAGAGGCCGCUCACCAUCCAGCAAAGAGCCUGCCUGUCCUUCUGGGCCUUUCAAGUCUCCUUCCACCCACUGCUUCCCAUCCUGCCAGCUGCAAUCCUACAGGG